UGGUGGAGUGAUUUGUCUGGUUAAUUCCGUUAACGAACGAGACCUCGACCUGCUAAAUAGUUUGGCGAAUUCCCUGUGGAUUCGCACAUAACUUCUCAGAGGGACUAUCGGUUCGCAGCCGGUGGAAGUUCGAGGCAAUAACA
rnacentral:rRNA from 1 species